rnacentral:rRNA from 1 species
GCAUAUCAAUAAGCGGAGGAAAAAGAAACCAACAGGGAUUGCCCCAGUAACGGCGAGUGAAGCGGCAAGAGCUCAAAUUUGAAAGCGGCUCCUUCGGGGUCCGCAUUGUAAUUUGCCGAGGAUGCUUCGGGAGCGGUCCCCAUCUAAGUGCCCUGGAACGGGACGUCAUAGAGGGUGAGAAUCCCGUAUGGGAUGGGGUGUCCGCGCCCGUGUGAAGCUCCUUCGACGAGUCGAGUUGUUUGGGAAUGCAGCUCUAAAUGGGUGGUAAAUUUCAUCUAAAGCUAAAUAUUGGCCGGAGACCGAUAGCGCACAAGGAGAGUGAUCGAAAGAUGAAAAGCACUUUGAAAAGAGAGUUAAAAAGCACGUGAAAUUGUUGAAAGGGAAGCGCUUGCGACCAGACUCGCUCGCGGGGUUCAGCCGGCAUUCGUGCCGGUGUACUUCCCCGCGGGCGGGCCAGCGUCGGUUUGGGCGGUCGGUCAAAGGCCCUCGGAAGGUAACGCCCCUAGGGGCGUCUUAUAGCCGAGGGUGCAAUGCGACCUGCCUAGACCGCGGAACGCGCUUCGGCCCGGACGCUGG